GGCGAACGCUGGCGGCGCGCCCAACACAUGCAAGUCGAACGGGGAUAAAUCAACGGAAGGCUUCGGCCGGAAGAGGAUAUAUUCUAGUGGCGGACGGGUGAGUAACGCGUGAGUAACCUGCCUUUCAGAGGGGGAUAACGGCCGGAAACGGCCGCUAAUACCGCAUAACGUAAAGGGACGGCAUCAUUCUUUUACCAAAGGAGCAAUCCGCUGAGAGAUGGACUCGCGUCCAAUUAGCCAGUUGGCGGGGUAAAGGCCCACCAAAGCGACGAUUGGUAGCCGGACUGAGAGGUUGAACGGCCACAUUGGGACUGAGACACGGGCCCAGACUCCUACGGGAGGCAGCAGUGGGGAAUAUUGC
rnacentral:rRNA from 1 species